rnacentral:tRNA from 1 species
AAGGAUUUAAGUUAAAGAUUAAACUAGCAGCCUUCAAAGCUGAAAAUAGACAAUUUCUAAGCCUUA